rnacentral:rRNA from 1 species
CAGAGGGUGCAAGCGUUAAUCGGAAUUACUGGGCGUAAAGGGCGCGUAGGCGGAUGAGUAAGUUAGGUGUGAAAUCCCUGGGCUUAACCUGGGAAUGGCACUUAAUACUGUUUAUCUAGAGUAGAGUAGAGGGAAGUGGAAUUUCCGGUGUAGCGGUGAAAUGCGUAGAGAUCGGAAAGAACACCAGUGGCGAAGGCGGCUUCCUGGACUCAUACUGACGCUGAGACGCGAAAGCGUGGGGAGCAAACAGGAUUAGAUACCCUGGUAGUCCAUGCUGUAAACGAUGAAAACUAGAUGUUGUUAGGUUAAACCUAUCAGUAUCGCAGCUAACGCGAUAAGUUUUCCGCCUGGGGAGUACGGCCGCAAGGUUA